UUGAAAAUCAAUCGCGUCAUUCGCUUCCGAAGUGGAAAACAACUUUAAUAUGCACAGCACCUUUGACGUUAUUCACCAUCGUUGUUGACACACAGAACUUCUUUCUACUAGAAACUCGAGAUGGUGUUGAAAACUCUUCUAAACCGUUUGGCGUAGCUAUUCAUAAAACAACAAAGCCUUUACAUUAUCUUUUCCCAGUUUCUUAUGGCAACGGUAUUGUUUUCUAUUGUAGCGCUUCAUCGUUGAAACUGAAUCACGCGUGAUUGCAAAGAUUUCUAAAGGGACCCUAUUUAGCGCGUGAAUGAAAACUAUAACACCAGGUAUUAACAUCAAUAGCAAGUGCUUCAUCACAAAACGAAACUCUAGAAAAACAAAAUUCCAACUAGUUGGAAUGACUCGACGGCAUCCGGAAUGAAUCACAGGUAGCUUUGGAACAACAUGUUGGCGGAUAGUUUUGACUAGUGGACACACGCAAUUGCGCUACUGAUGCUCAUUAUUCAUAGCCAUUUCGUGCCAUUGGAUAACUACACCAUCGUCAAUAAUGACGAAAUCGAAACAAAAAAAAGGCGGUGAAAAAUGAUCAUUCCGCAACGUUUAUGAAUGACGAAGAAAAAGAAGAAAUAUAAAUACUUCUGUAUACGCGAUACAUGGGUUUGCAACGAUGCUGGAAGCCUCACAGUUCUUCACGCGCUUCAUUCGCUCGCAUAACAAUGGUUAGUGGGAUGGGGAAGAUAAUUAUGCGUUUCUUCGAUAUUUGAAAAUGCAUACGACACGAGCGAUUAGAGGUAGUGUAGGAAUAGUGGUUGUUAUGUCAGAAUGAACAGGUGGACCCUCUGGCCUGAAAAGACGAAUCAGGAUGAUAGAAAACCUUAUAAAACGAGGUCAAAUCGAAGGUAGAGGUUAGUCGAGUGAACAUCUCUGACACAGUAUAGUACUAGCAGUCUUUCAAAUACCAAUAGCUGAUUUAAUAUAGUGUCUUCCAGUUCCAACCUGCAAUCAUGGGUAAUGUACACACUUCAACUUGUUUAAUGAUUUUAGUUAAUGUGAUGAUGCAAUUGUUGA